rnacentral:misc_RNA from 1 species
GAAAUGCGAUAAGUAGUGUGAAUUGCAGAAUUUAGCGAAUCAUCGAAUCUUUGAACGCACAUUGCGCCCCUUGGUAUUCCAUGGGGCAUGCCUGUUCGAGCGUCAUUUCAACCCUCAAGCACUGCUUGGUGUUGGGCGUUUGUCCCGCCUACGCGCGUGGACUCGCCUCAAAGUCAUUGGCAGCUGUUCCCCUUCGGCUCGUAAGCGCAGCACAGUCGGCGCCCGGAGCUCUGGUGGGAUGGCGCCCAGCAAGCUAUAUUUUCAGGCUUGACCUCGGAUCAGGUAGGGAUACCCGCUGAACUUAAGC